UACGAAGGGGGGCUAGCGUUGUCCGGAAUCACUGGGCGUAAAGGGCGCGUAGGCGGCCCCGGUAAGUAGGGGGGUGAAAAUCCUGCGGCUUAACCGCAGGGGCUGCCUUCUAAACUGUCGGGCUCGAGCACGGUAGAGGCAGAUGGAAUUCCCGGUGUAGCGGUGGAAUGCGUAGAGAUCGGGAAGAACAUCAGUGGCGAAGGCGGUCUGCUGGGCCGUUGCUGACGCUGAGGCGCGACAGCGUGGGGAGCAAACAGG
rnacentral:rRNA from 1 species